rnacentral:rRNA from 1 species
UACAGAGGGGGCAAGCGUUGUUCGGAAUUACUGGGCGUAAAGGGCGCGUAGGCGGCCCGCUAAGUCGAACGUGAAAUCCCUGGGCUCAACCCAGGAACUGCGUCCGAUACUGGCGGGCUUGAAUCCGGGAGAGGGAUGUGGAAUUCCAGGUGUAGCGGUGAAAUGCGUAGAUAUCCGGAGGAACACCGGUGGCGAAGGCGGCAUCCUGGACCGGUAUUGACACUGAGGCGCGAAAGCCAGGGGAGCAAACGGG